rnacentral:rRNA from 1 species
AGCAGGCGCGCAAAUUACCCAAUCCCAAUACGGGGAGGUAGUGACAAUAAAUAACAAUAUGGGGCUCUUACGGGUCUCGUAAUUGGAAUGAGUACAAUUUAAAUCUCUUAACGAGGAACAAUUGGAGGGCAAGUCUGGUGCCAGCAGCCGCGGUAAUUCCAGCUCCAAUAGCGUAUAUUAAAGUUGUUGCAGUUAAAAAGCUCGUAGUUGAAUUUCGGAGUUUGUCGGUUGGUCGGGCUUCACUGUCCGCACUGGCCUGAUGGAUUCCUACCUUCUGAAUAACCAGCAUGCUAUUAAGUUAGUGCGUUGGGGAAGCAGAGCUAUUACCUUGAAAAAAUUAGAGUGCUUAAAGCAGGCUUAUGCUUGAAUAGAUUAGCAUGGAAUAAUAAAAUAGGACGGCAUGGUUCUAUUUUGUUGGUUUCUAGGAUCACCGUAAUGAUUAAUAGGGAUAGUUGGGGGCAUUAGUAUUCAAUUGUCAGAGGUGAAAUUCUUGGAUUUAUUGAAGACUAACUUCUGCGAAAGCAUUUGCCAAGGAUGUUUUCAUUAAUCAAGAACGAAAGUUAGGGGAUCGAAGACGAUCAGAUACCGUCGUAGUCUUAACCAUAAACUAUGCCGACUAGGGAUCGGACGAUGUUAAUUUUUUAAUGACUCGUUCGGCGCCUUACGGGAAACCAAAGUGUUUGGGUUCA